rnacentral:rRNA from 1 species
ACGUAGGGGGCAAGCGUUAUCCGGAUUUACUGGGUGUAAAGGGAGCGUAGACGGGCCAGCAAGUCUGAUGUGAAAACCCGGGGCCCAACCCCGGGAGUGCAUUGGAAACUGCGGGCCUGGAGUGCCGGAGAGGUAAGCGGAAUUCCUAGUGUAGCGGUGAAAUGCGUAGAUAUUAGGAGGAACACCAGUGGCGAAGGCGGCUUACUGGACGGUAACUGACGUUGAGGCUCGAAAGCGUGGGGAGCAAACAG